rnacentral:rRNA from 1 species
GACGUACCACCCAAACGUUAUUCGGAAUCACUGGGCUUAAAGAGUCCGUAGGCGGUCAGGAAAGUUGGGUGUGAAAUACCUCAGCUCAACUGAGGAAUUGCGCUCAAAACUACCUGGCUCGAGAAAGACAGAGGUGAGCGGAACUGAUGGUGGAGCGGUGAAAUGCAUUGAUAUCAUCAGGAACACCGGUGGCGAAAGCGGCUCACUGGGUCUUUUCUGACGCUCAUGGACGAAAGCUAGGGGAGCGAACGGGG